AGAGUUUGAUCAUGGCUCAGAACGAACGCUGGCGGCAGGCUUAACACAUGCAAGUCGAACGCUUGUAGCAAUACAAGAGUGGCGCACGGGUGAGUAACACGUGGGAACAUGCCCUAGAGUCAAGAAUAACUACGGGAAACUGUAGCUAAUACUUGAUAUUCCCUUCGGGGGAAAGAUUUAUCGCUCUAGGAUUGGCCCGCGCAAGAUUAGGUAGUUGGUGGGGUAAUGGCCUACCAAGCCUACGAUCUUUAGCUGGUCUGAGAGGACGACCAGCCACACUGGAACUGAGACACGGUCCAGACUCCUACGGGAGGCAGCAGUGGGGAAUAUUGGACAAUGGGGGCAACCCUGAUCCAGCCAUGCCGCGUGAAUGAUGAAGGCCUUAGGGUUGUAAAGUUCUUUUGGCGGGGAAGAUAUUGACGGUACCCGCAGAAUAAGCACCGGCUAACUUCGUGCCAGCAGCCGCGGUAAUACGAAGGGUGCUAGCGUUGUUCGGAAUCACUGGGCGUAAAGCGCGCGUAGGCGGCUUUUCAAGUCAGGGGUGAAAUCCCACAGCUUAACUGUGGAACUGCCUUUGAAACUGUAAAGCUGGAAUGCAAGAGGGGAUAGCGGAAUUGCUAAUGUAGAGGUGAAAUUCGUAGAUAUUAGCAGGAACACCGGUGGCGAAGGCGGCUAUCUGGAUUGCAAUUGACGCUGAGGCGCGAAAGCAUGGGGAUCAAACAGGAUUAGAUACCCUAGUAGUCC
rnacentral:rRNA from 1 species